UCGAGUGCCAGGUUACAAAUCUGGCUGUCGAGAUGCCUAAAAAGCAUUUCAUAGCAAGGGCCGGGCAAGACCGGUGCCAGCCGCCGCGGUAACACCGGCGGCUCGAGUGGUAACCGUUAUUAUUGGGUCUAAAGGGUCUGUAGCCGGCCGGAUAAGUCUCUUGAGAAAUCUGGCAGCUUAACUGUCAGGCUUUCAGGAGAUACUGUCUGGCUCGAGGCCGGGAGAGGUGAGAGGUACUUCAGGGGUAGGGGUGAAAUCUUGUAAUCCUUGAAGGACCACCAGUGGCGAAGGCGUCUCACCAGAACGGACCUGACGGCAAGGGACGAAAGCUAGGGGCACGAACCGGAUUAGAUACCCGGGUAGUCCUAGCCGUAAACGAUACUCGCUAGGUGUCGGCCACGGUGCGACCGUUGUCGGUGCCGUAGGGAAGCCGUGAAGCGAGCCACCUGGGAAGUACGGCCGCAAGGCUGAAACUUAA
rnacentral:rRNA from 1 species